CAUGACCUACGGGGGGCAGCAGUGGGGAAUAUUGCACAAUGGGGGAAACCCUGAUGCAGCAACGCCGCGUGAGUGAAGAAGUAUCUCGGUACGUAAAGCUCUCUCAGCAGGGAAGAAAAAAAGUCUUUGGCUUUGGACGGUACCUGACUAAGAAGCCCCGGCUAACUACGUGCCAGCAGCCGCGGUAAUACGUAGGGGGCAAGCGUUAUCCGGAUUUACUGGGUGUAAAGGGAGCGUAGACGGCAGCGCAAGGCUGGAGUGAAAUGCCGGGGCUCAACCCCGGAACGGCUUUGGAAGCUGAGCAG
rnacentral:rRNA from 1 species